rnacentral:rRNA from 1 species
AUACAGAGGGUGCGAGCGUUAAUCGGAAUUACUGGGCGUAAAGCGCACGUAGGCGGUUUAUUAAGUGAGAAGUGAAAGCCCUGGGCUUAACCCAGGAACGGCUUCUCAUACUGGUAGACUAGAGUAUGGGAGAGGAGGAUGGAAUUUCCGGUGUAGCGGUGAAAUGCGUAGAUAUCGGAAGGAACACCAGUGGCGAAGGCGAUUCUCUGGACCAUAACUGACGCUGAGGCGCGAAAGCGUGGGGAGCAAACAGGAUUAGAAACCCCAGUAGUCC